rnacentral:rRNA from 1 species
CCUACGGGUGGCAGCAGUGAGGAAUAUUGGUCAAUGGACGAGAGUCUGAACCAGCCAAGUAGCGUGAAGGAUGACUGCCCUAUGGGUUGUAAACUUCUUUUAUAUGGGAAUAAAAUGUUCCACGUGUGGGCUUUUGUAUGUACCCUAUGAAUAAGGAUCGGCUAACUCCGUGCCAGCAGCCGCGGUAAUACGGAGGAUCCGAGCGUUAUCCGGAUUUAUUGGGUUUAAAGGGAGCGUAGGUGGGUUGUUAAGUCAGUUGUGAAAGUUUGCGGCUCAACCGUAGAAUUGCAGUUGAAACUGGAAGUCUGGAGUACAGUAGGGGUGGGCGGAAUUCGUGGUGUAGCGGUGAAAUGCUUAGAUAUCACGAAGAACUCCGAUUGCGAAGGCAGGUGACUGGACUGCAACUGACACUGAGGCUCGAAAGUGUGGGUAUCAAACAGGAUUAGAUACCCGGGUAGUC